rnacentral:misc_RNA from 1 species
GAUGAAGAACGCAGCGAAAUGCGAUAAGUAAUGCGAAUUGCAGAAUUCCAGUGAGUCAUCGAAUCUUUGAACGCACAUUGCGCCCAUUGGUAUUCCGAUGGGCAUGCCUGUUCGAGCGUCAUUAUCAACCCUCAAGCUUUGCUUGGUGUUGGGUGUUUGUCCUCUCCUUUGUGUUUGGACUCGCCUUAAAGCAAUUGGCAGCCAGUGUUUUGGUAUUGAAGCGCAGCACAAUUUGCGAUUUGAUCCUAUAAUACUAGCGUCCAUGAAGCCUUUUUUUCACUUUUGACCUCGGAUCAGGUAGGGAUACCCGCUGAACUUAAGCAUAUCAAUAAGCGGAGGA